UGGGGAAUUUUGGACAAUGGGGGGAACCCUGAUCCAGCCAUGCCGCGUGCAGGAAGAAGGCCUUCGGGUUGUAAACUGCUUUUGUUAGGAACGAAAAGGUGGAUACUAAUAAUGUCUACUGAUGACGGUACCUAAAGAAUAAGCACCGGCUAACUACGUGCCAGCAGCCGCGGUAAUACGUAGGGUGCAAGCGUUAAUCGGAAUUACUGGGCGUAAAGCGUGCGCAGGCGGUUUUGUAAGUCAGGUGUGAAAUCCCCGAGCUCAACUUGGGAAGUGCACGUGAGACUGCAAGACUAGAGUAUGUCAGAGGGGGGUGGAAUUCCAAGUGUAGCAGUGAAAUGCGUAGAUAGUUGGAAGAACACCGAUGGCGAAGGCAGCCCCCUGGGAUAAUACUGACGCUCAUGCACGAAAGCGUGGGGAGCAAACAGG
rnacentral:rRNA from 2 species